UACGGAGGGCGCAAGCGUUGUUCGGAAUUACUGGGCGUAAAGGGCGUGUAGGCGGUGUGGUAAGUCAGAUGUGAAAGCCCUGGGCUUAACCCAGGAAGUGCAUUUGAAACUGCCAUGCUUGAGCAUGGGAGAGGAGAGUGGAAUUCCCAGUGUAGAGGUGAAAUUCGUAGAUAUUGGGAGGAACGGCCGUGGCGAAGGCGGCUCUCUGGUCCAAUACUGACGCUGAGGCGCGAAAGCGUGCGAUGCGAAUAGU
rnacentral:rRNA from 1 species